GAUGAACGCUGGCGGUGUGCCUAAUACAUGCAAGUCGAGCGAACAGACGAUGAGCUUGCUCCUCUGCCGUUAGCGGCGGACGGGCGAGUAACACGUGGAUAACCUACUUAUAAGACUGGGAGAAAUUCGGGAAACAGGAGCUAAUACUGGAUAAUAUAUUGAACCGCAUGGUUCAAUAGUGAAAGACGGCUUUGCUGUCACUUAUAGAUGGAUCCGUGCCGCAUUAGCUAGUUGGUAAGGUAACGGCCUACCAAGGCGACGAUGCGUAGCCGACCUGAGAGGGUGAUCGGCCACACUGGAACUGAGACACGGUCCAGACUCCUACGGGAGGCAGCAGUAGGGAAUCUUCCGCAAUGGGCGAAAGCCUGACGGAGCAACGCCGCGUGAGUGAUGAAGGUCUUCGGAUCGUAAAGCUCUUUUAUUAGGAAAGAACAACUGUAUAAGUAACUAUGCACGUCUUGACGGUACCUAAUCAGAAAGCCACGGCUAACUACGUG
rnacentral:rRNA from 1 species